GGGUUGUGAGGUUAAGCGACUAAGCGUACACGGUGGAUGCCCUGGCAGUCAGAGGCGAUGAAGGGCGUGCUAAUCUGCGAUAAGCGCCGGUAAGGUGAUAUGAACCGUUAUAACCGGCGAUACCCGAAUGGGGAAACCCAGUGUGACUCGUCACACUAUCAUUAACUGAAUCCAUAGGUUAAUGAGGCGAACCGGGGGAACUGAAACAUCUAAGUACCCCGAGGAAAAGAAAUCAACCGAGAUUCCCCCAGUAGCGGCGAGCGAACGGGGAGGAGCCCAGAGCCUGAAUCAGCAUGUGUGUUAGUGGAAGCGUCUGGAAAGGCGCGCGAUACAGGGUGACAGCCCCGUACACAAAAGCGCAUGUGCUGUGAGCUCGAUGAGUAGGGCGGGACACGUGGUAUCCUGUCUGAAUAUGGGGGGACCAUCCUCCAAGGCUAAAUACUCCUGACUGACCGAUAGUGAACCAGUACCGUGAGGGAAAGGCGAAAAGAACCCCGGCGAGGGGAGUGAAAAAGAACCUGAAACCGUGUACGUACAAGCAGUGGGAGG
rnacentral:rRNA from 2 species